UCACUUAGGAUGGACAGUAAAAUACAGUAGAUGGAUAUUUGGGGGCUGAAGGUGUUACUUAUGAUCAUUACGAUCGUAUAAGGUCAAUAUGGAUUUUGAUGGGAUAAGUUUCUCUAAAGAAUUGGAAUGAUCAUGUCAAUUCUACAUUGGUUGCAAUUAUUGGAUAAUUAUGUUGUAUUGGGAGUAAAUCUUCAGCAAUAUUUAGAGUAAAUUCAAGACUAAAGACUAUUUAGUUUACUGAGAAUGAUACCUCAAUGUAGUGAAUUUCAAAUAGUAUAGAUUGCUAUUGUUGUUAAUAUUUUGUUGUUGAGGGAAGCAUUAUACUAUUAAGUAUUGUUGUUUCCUGCGAGCUUCUUUAGUUGAAUAUGAAUAAAAUAAAUAAACCAAAAGUUGUGACACACUUGAUGCCCUUUUGAUUUAAUGUAGGACAAUUCUUUUGCUUGGAAUCUCAUUACAACUGAAUAUGUUGAACAAUCUACGGGGUAUUUCAUUUUAUUAUUAUUUUUCUCCUUAAUUUUAUAUUUUGUAUAUAUAUUUCCCUUUCCUAAAUUAUAUAUGUCCUUAACAGAUUAAUGUUAAUGGAAAGUGCUCAAUUGGAGAGAUAUAUAAACUGCGGUCAGAGUUGGCAGGUUCUGUUCUAGAACAUAUGAUGAGUAUUAAGGUAUAAAAGUAUUCUUCUAGAUUUUAAUGACUGAUGAUAGUUGGAAAGUAUGACAAGUAGGUUUGGAAAUUUGUAUAGAUUCUUGUGAAUUCUUUUGACGAUGAGUAAUGAGUUUGUAUACAAUAAGUUAUAUUAUUAUUUGUUGAUGAUGAAAAUAAUGAAAUGGUUGAACAUAGUAUUGUUGUUGAUGAGUAGGGGACAUAUUAUUAUUUGUGUUGAUGAAAAUCAUGAAAUUUGUUUAUGAUGAUUUUGAUUGUGAUUGUUAUUGUGUGAAGGAUAUGGUGAAGAAAAGAAGACAACAUUGGACAUAUUGGUUGAUGCAUCACAUUUUGAAGGAACGAAGGAGCAACAAGUGUUAACUCAUUUGAAUAUUAGGAUCGAACUUAUUUGGUAGUAGAUUUACAAAUAUUAACUCGUUUUAGUUAUAUAUAAUUAGUGUUAGGAUUUAACGUAUUUUGUAAUGGAUAUGCUAGAACUGAUUUAGUUGAAUUUUAAGUUGUAAUGAAUACUGGAAUUUUGUCAUGAUUAUGUUAUAAAAUUUCUCAUGAUUUUCUCAUGCUUUUAAAUAAAAA
rnacentral:lncRNA from 1 species